AUGGGUGUCCUCCUCAGAAGCAGUGGUCGCUCUGCUCCUCUUUCUUUUCUGGGGAUCGAUCCGGGCUGUGCGGCGGCAACGUUUUCAGAUCGGCACUUUUACUUAUCCGAGUACUUCGACCAGCAGAGGCUCACAGGCUUCACAGCCCCAACUUCGUCGAGCAACGCUGCUUCCGCUUCUCAAAGUCCCGCUGGAGCUACCUUUCUCUUGAUUCAACUGUCGGGAGUUUUGGUUAUAAAGUUGAAGGAUAAGAAAACCUGCAUGCUAACGACAAUCGAGUCUUAAUCCACUACUGUGCAUUGAUGAAGUUACCCACCUCUAUCAUCAAUCGCGGAUAAGAGUUACCGAAAGUCACGCGCUCAGUGGGAUAACGGAGUCUCACGGGGACACUUAUUGAACAUGCCGAUCGCUGCUUGACACGUACUCCCGACAGCAAAAGUAGACAAGCUACUGCAUACAUUCCAGAACUCAUCUUGUUUGAGAAUCAUUGUUCCCAAGCCUGGACA